rnacentral:rRNA from 1 species
GGUGUAGGCGGCCUUUCAAGUCGGAUGUGAAAUCUCCCAGCUUAACUGGGAGCGGUCAUUCGAUACUGUUGGGCUGGAGGGCAUCAGAGGGAAGCGGAACUCCCGGUGUAGUGGUGGAAUGCGUAGAUAUCGGGAGGAACACCAGUGGCGAAGGCGGCUUCCUGGGGUGUACCUGACGCUGUGGCCCGAUGGCGUGGGGAGCAAACA